rnacentral:lncRNA from 1 species
GGGAUUGAGAUGCUUGGGGAUUUGGUGAUGGACCCCAUAGUAGAUGUAAAUUAUGGUUUAGAAUAUUUAAAUAUUGAAUAAUUUAGUUUGUGAAAUAUAAUUGAUGUUGUAGGGGAAGAGUCAGCGGUGCCAGAAGAUUUUGAUCAGGGGACUCAGCACCCCAGUGAGUAGGUUGUGAUUCGGAUCCGUGAUUGAAUCAGUCUACAAUUUCUGUAAGAAUUCCUACAUCUGAGCACUUCUAUACAUAUAUUUGAUUUAUCGUUGGAUUUAUUUCAUAAUUAUGUUAUUAUUGUUUUAUGAGUUGAUGCGAUAUCUAUGAGGCAAAUUUAUAUCAACAUAUUUUCAUAAUUAUGUUGUUAUUGUUUUAUGAGCUGAUACGAAACCUUUGAGGCGUGCAUUGUGUUUAUAAUGAAAAUAUUGAGAUAAAUUCAUUUGGGAAGAAAUAACAUAUUUUUGAGAAUUUAUGAAAAUAUAUGACGGGAUUGAAAUGUGAUUGAACAUGUAAAACUAGACAUGUAAUGUGGGUUGGACUAACCUUGUCAUGAGAUAGCCUCUACGAGCUUAUGCGUAGGAUAG